GUGUGUAUCCAGCUGCUCAGGGGAGCUUUUUGCUCAGGGUCGGUUCCAACCCUGACACCAACAGUCCAAGGGACCUAACAAUUAAAAAAAAGGGGACAUAUUACAACAUCAAAACAAACAAAAAUACAAACACUGCAUACACCGGUGACAAGGGUGCUUGGUGGAAAUUGCACCCACACUUGGCCCACCCAACCUUGACCCUUAUGUCCAAUAAUCGUUAAAUAUCUUAAGGGCCCCGCAUUCCACUAACACUUACCACGCAAUUUACACCCUAUAUUCCCCCAAGAGUUUACAAAUUAGCACAUCAUAUCGACUAUUAACACUUACACAUAUAAAUAAUUUAUUGACAUAUCGAGAGUUGACUUAAUCCUAACAAAUAAAUAUUUGAACAAUGUUGACUUUAAAAUUCCUAACACCUGAAUCUGUCUUUAUGUGAGCCAAUCGCUCGGGCUACUACAGUCUACGAAGAGUACAUAAAAAUUUUUGCCAAACUGGCCACUUUAAGCAUCUACUCCCUCCCUAAUAGAGCUCUGUUAAGGGGGUAUUAUGGACGUUACCUUAUGUCCAAAAUUACCAAUAAACUGGAACUCUCCCUUCGUAUGACGGUCUAACCCUACGCUCAGGUAUAUAACCGGGCGUUAGAAAUUUUCACAAUAUAAAAAUCUUAACCUAAAUUCUAUACACUAAGGACAAUCACACUUAAACUACAGACAAUUACAUUAAAUUAAACUAGUCAGUAUAAAAUUUUGGUGUCAUUCCAUUUUUCAUUCAAAUUAAUCAUUAAUCAAAAUUCUCUUCUUUUUUUCCAGGCCGCAGGAGGAAGAUAUAUAUAUAUGCCGCUUGGCCGCACCAACCGUUCAGGACUCGAUAUUGAUGAUCUUUUUGACCUUUUCGGCAUCAGACCUACCGAGCCGACCACUGUUUGAAUACCGGUGCUUUGGCGGACCGGGGCUUGGCCUCACUCAUGGACUUUCUGGGCAGCAGCGCUUUUUAUAUAAAAAAUUUGCUGACCUCCUCCACCGAAAACUUGGAGGGGUCAGAUAUCUAGCCGUCUUUUGUUGGGGUGUUAUCUUAAAAGAAAAAACACAACAUCGAAACACCAAAAAGACAUACACUAUUAGAACAACAGAAACUUACGAAAUUUUGGUCACACCCACACAUACACAACAAUCGGCAAAUAAAAAUAAAAAAAUUACGAAAACUUUAAUUCCACUAUCUUGGUGUUUUUAUGGGAUCACUUUUUUAAAUUUUAGCUUAGAAAAAUUUUUCCUUGCCCGUUUACCAAAACUUUAAUGGCGAAUUUUUCUGUCCGUUACCCCUUUUAUACGGCAGCCAUUGGACGCAAUCUUCCCACUUUUCCUUUUUUUUUGUUCUCCCUUGUUUAUUCUCUUCCUCUUUGAUCGCACUUAGCGAGCCCUAUCGUUACCCAUGGUUGCAUAUGAUCUUAGUACCAUGUACUAAGAGGAACAUUGGCAGCACCUUGACACCCAACCGUAUCCGGUUCAUUCAUUUUUUUAAGAUCGGCUGGAGCGGUAAUUACAAAUGUAAAUUCUCGCUCAGCCGAUAAUACAGAAAAUUAAUCUUUCGCAAUCGCGGUACGCACGCAACAAAACUUCGCCAUUUUCACACAAAAAGUGAGAAAAUGGUGAUGUGCGUUACUGGAUUGUAACAUUUUCCUGCAAAGCAUCAGGAUAAAAUAAUCAAUUACAAAAGAAGAAUGGAUUUUGAUCCACACAAAAAAAAACACGCUGCUGUGCUCCCACAUUGACUUGGAUAUAUGGAAAAAAUGGGUACGUAUUUCCACAAUGAAUGGCCAUGUGGGGUGGCUCAGCCUACAGGGUUAGUGUGAGUGUGUGUGUAUUUACGCAUCAUACCACCGCUUAUCACCAUUGACAACAAUGCCGGUCACACAUACGUGUGCCGGCAACAACUACAACGGUUUGGUGCCGCUCCAACGAGCAGAACGUCGCCGUCGCAGCUGGUUUGAAAAAAAAAAACACAUACACAGCAACAAUAAAUGUGUGAACGUCAUCUUCAUACCAUUUGUAUGAAGAUUGAGAAACAGGUAAAUUCAAGAUUCGCGUUCGUGAAGUACCAUUUGGGAAAUAUCUGUUUUUUUCUUAUUUAUUGCGCAAUUGACGUGCGACGACAACAAGAAAUGAUCGCCAUUCAAUUCACAAUGGACAAUCUGUCUUUGCCUGUGGCGGCGUUAAUAGAGGAAUGCUCUUCGGUGUUGUGUUCCCCAGAUUUGCGGUGGCCACUAAAUACACUUAAUUGUGCACAAAAGAAAAACUUGUUAUCGUUGUUAAAAUUUGUGCAUUGUGGCUCAGGUAAUAGUGGAAAUCUUUGCGUUGUAGAUAAUCCAACAACAAUCGUGUGGCUCUGUCCAAAUGGUGGUAGUUUGGAUAUUUUUUUUUCCCAAUUGAAUGCUAUGAAAGUGCUACAAUGAAUCUGCCAGCAUGAAGGAACAGUUUUUCGUGACCUCAUCGACUUUUUUACAUCACCACACAACAACGUUCCCCUGUGGAUCAUAAACCUUCAGGCCGCAGGAGGAAGAUAUAUAUAUAUGCCGCUUGGCCGCACCAACCGUUCAGGACUCGAUAUUGAUGAUCUUUUUGACCUUUUCGGCAUCAGACCUACCGAGCCGACCACUGUUUGAAUACCGGUGCUUUGGCGGACCGGGGCUUGGCCUCACUCAUGGACUUUCUGGGCAGCAGCGCUUUUUAUAUAAAAAAUUUGCUGACCUCCUCCACCGAAAACUUGGAGGGGUCAGAUAUCUAGCCGUCUUUUGUUGGGGUGUUAUCUUAAAAGAAAAAACACAACAUCGAAACACCAAAAAGACAUACACUAUUAGAACAACAGAAACUUACGAAAUUUUGGUCACACCCACACAUACACAACAAUCGGCAAAUAAAAAUAAAAAAAUUACGAAAACUUUAA